rnacentral:lncRNA from 1 species
CCACGAGGUUUUGGGAGUGAUAGUCACUUACCUUCCUAUUUUUGUGUUUGCAGUCACACGACUUUGUUCUUGCUGAGGAUUUUUGUUUUUUGAUUCCUUUUUUGUUUUUUGACUUCCCUAAUUUUGCCUAAGCCACUUGUUUUCAAGUUUCGACCUAGCGGGAUUUUUCUCUCUUUCUUUUUUUUAGAGUUUUUUUUUGGAACAAAUCGUGUGACGUUUGUUGAUUUGGUUUGAA